rnacentral:tRNA from 1 species
GCCGAGGUGUCCUAGCCUGGUAGGGAGCAGGCCUGGAAAGCCUGUGACUCGCAAGGGUCGCGGGGGUUCAAAUCCCCCCCUCGGCGCCA